UCAGAUUUUUUUUUUCACAAACCGUCACGUACAGCACUUGAACAAAGCAUAUGUGUCUGUUAGUGAACGCAAGAAUUUUAACCCUUGAAAUGAAUUGGCGGGAUGGAAAAGCCUUCUAUAUUAUGAGACUAUUGAUGUGGCAUUUUCUUCAUAUGGAAGGAACUGAUUAAUAUGUGUGGGAGAUAUGGAUUCUAGGAACAGAUUAACAACAGAAAAAGGAAUGAAUGAUUCAAAUGUGACCUUCCAAAACUCUACAAAUUAGAACUUGAAGACUCAUAUAUCAACGCGACAUUUUGUAGUGGACAUAGUGAUGUGGAAUAUACUUGAGAAAGAUUGAACGUUCUACCUCUUCCUACUUUUAGUUACAUUCCACUGGAUAAUUUAAUGAAAGUGACAAAGGAUAUACUGUGAUACAUUUUUAGGAGGAAAAAUUUAUUUGGCCAAACUUGGUGAAAUUAAUUGUGUCGUAUAAUCUUGGAAAUAAAAAAGUUACAGAAUUUAA